rnacentral:lncRNA from 7 species
CAGUAUCCUUAGGGAAAACCCUGGUGACAGCUUUCAAGUGUACUUGGUUGGCUGAGGAAACUACUGCUGAAACCCAAGAGUCACCAUACUCCAGCAAACAAGCCAAGCUGUCUCUUGCAAAAAAGUUGGCAAGUGAUUCCAAGUAACUCCUUUAGAUUCACAUACUCUGCCAGUGCCCAAAGGAACUGAAUUGGCAGCACUUCUUAAUGCCAGAAACCAUCCUUUCUUCUCAUUCACCGCCUCUUCUCCUCUGGAAUGAAAUGAAGGUGCUUUAUCAGGAAACUCUGGGUAGCAGUUCAAAAAGAAGCCAGACAAGCACAUAUAUUCACAUGGAACGUCUUCACAAAGCGCAUCUGAGAAUUAGCUGGUGUAGUUUCCUUUUCACAGAACUCAGUAUCUCACAGAUUCCUUGGCACCUUUGUUUCAAUAUAUGCUUUUUCUUUCUUUGUUCAUUUGUUUUUGGUUUUCCCCUCUUUCUUCCUAAAGUGGAUAAUCUAUCUUGCGAUAGUUCAAACAGGACUGCCAAGAAUGUUACUCACAUUCAUAGCUGCUGUUUUCAUUCCUGAUCCAAAAGGGCGAAUUGGGCCUGUUCUGCUUGCAUUUUAGUUGAGACUACCUUAAGUGUUCAUAGAACUAAAAAUGAGAAGAAAAGUGGUUGAAUGCCCAACACUGUGAUGAUAAUGUUUAGUUAUGAGUCUGCAACUUCUUAAACGUUCCUAAAUGUGUCUAAUUCCUAUAAUUAGCUUCUUCAAUUUUUUUGUUAAUCAUUUCAAAUAUGGAUACACUCCAUGUGUACUAGAAUAAAUAUAUGUUUUUCUUUCUCAGCUCUGUGGGUUGUAGAUACAAUUGAGUAAGACACUUCUAUGUACUUCAUAGAUAAACACGGAGAACUCCUACUGCAUGUAAAAGAACUUGUAUGUUUAUUGAAGAAUGAACAGAUGUACUGAAAUGUGAAAGAGCUGUGCAAUAAUGAAGGAGUUGGGCUAACUGAUGGGCUUUUUUGUUGCAAAGGAAGGACAUCAACACUACGUUAUAAUAGCAAAGCUAUUAACCUGGGCUGAGAGUGCUUUUGUUUUACUCAGAGCAAGAAAAGAAAAAGAAGAAUUAGGUGAGGCAGGCUAUAAAGAGGCCCAAUAAACAAAUAUUUUCAAUUACCUCAUACAAAUUAUGUAGCUUUGGUAACAGUUAAGCCACUUAGCCAUGGAUAAAAAAGGUGUGCAAGGGCCCUCACAGAGAGAAAACGUCUGUUAAUUCUGAGGGCUGGUAAAGGAUCUUUCCGUUUAAAUCAACACAAACAAACAAAUGGCUUUUAGUGUUCCCCCUACUGAUAUUUAUUUUACAUCUUUAUGGUGAUACAUAGACUACAUGGAUGAAAUUACACUACAAAAUUCUUCUGUGCAGCUCUUUUUUUUUUUUUUUUGCUUCUAGUCUGGCUAUCAACAUUUCAUGUAGAAAAACAACGGCCACGUUGCCCCAAGCUCUACCUGCUGUGCAAACAGCCAGUCCUCCUCCCCCUCUGCUGUCACUCCUGCUGAGGCUAACAGGAACCAUGUGUCAUCCGAGCUCUAUUUACACUCCCUGAUCCUCCUGAGAAGAUCUGCCUGUCUCUGCAAAUCUGUUAGCUGAUUGUCUCCCACCAUUACUAACUGACAAUGUCUAAUACAUUUUCUUACCUUGCCUUCUUAAUAUUCAUAUACACCGAAAAUGUAGUCUCCACUAAGUGCAGCUGGUGAUAUAGCAGAUGGAUAAAACAAAUAUAUAUAGAU